GCAGAAAGAUACACAGGGACCCCACUGG
rnacentral:piRNA from 1 species